rnacentral:tRNA from 2 species
GGCGCCGUGGCUUAGUUGGUUAAAGCGCCUGUCUUGUAAACAGGAGAUCGGGGGUUCGAAUCCCCCCGGGGCCU